rnacentral:lncRNA from 1 species
AAGUGCUACAAUGCCCCAAACCAAAAAAAUUGAAAACUAAACAAGGCCUAAGUAAGCUGCUCUAGCCCAGACCUUUGCGCUCCUCUGGAGAGGCCGGCGCACAUGCAUGGCGCCAUGGCCCCGCCCACCACCAACACCUAUGAUGGAUAGAUAGCCUUGCAUUUGGCCCCGAUCUCAUCGGCAACGCAGUGCCGCACAGGAGUACAUGGCCCGGCUACGGAACCGAGACUAAGGUUUCGAGAGUAAAUGUUCCACCUUUAGUUUCGGUUGGUAACAGCAACCGAGACUAAAAGGUACGCCAGGGUGUGCCAUCUAGCCUCCACUUUUAGUCCCGGUUGUUAAUACCAACCGGGACUAAAGACUUUUUUCUUUUUUCUUUUUCUUUUCAUUUGGUUUUCCAUUUAGGGUUUACAGUUAUGUUAUUGUUAUUUUCGAAUGCGUAUUGUUUGUUGGUAAUUUAUGGAACGCGCACCUAAAAUUUAUAUAAUUUAAAGCAUUACAUAUAAAUAUACUAUAAAACACUAUAUAUAUAUAAAUAAUAUGUAUCUAUAGGUCCAUAAUAUAAUAUUUACACAUAUGCUUCACGGACAAAGUAUUUACAACACAAUUUAUCUCCGUCACUCAAGCAUCGUACAAAUGAUCAUCCUUAUUUGGUUUCAUUGGCUCCUGAGGGUUGAAGUAGCACUCGCCGUCGGGAUUCAGGACUUGGUCGUUAAGAAAUCCUGCGAUUGUCUCCUAAAUUCCUUUUAGGCGCACCGCAUCCAACACCUGCUCCUUCAGCCACAUCUCCUUUAAUAGACAUUAAAGAAAAAAGUUAGAGGUAUGAAUAUGAUUUAUUAAAUAGCAACAAAUAAAUGAAAUAAACUUAUUAUAUAUACAUGUUACAUACUUUUAGGUGCUCAAGAUUAGUUCUUUUGGCAUAGACCGUCAUAAACUCGCACACAUAGUAGCCACACAAAUUGUUGCCCGGUGUCUGCUGUAGAACCCACUGAAGUAAGAUGGGCUUUGAAAGUGCUGCAUUCAACUCUGGACGGUGUUUCUGCACGAACCCAGCCCAAACCCUAGCAAUAAAACGAUCAUUAUUAAUUAUCUAUUACCAAGUUAAAAGAGCAGAAUUUAAUAUAUAGAGAUCGGAGUUACCCUUGGAUAAUAUCUAUCAUUUCUUGGUAAUCGUCCUGUGGUUUUCUCAACGAGUCAUAGAUUACCAAUUGACAUUGCCAGAGAUCAAUGACAAUUAGUAUCCAAUGAAAGCUGCAUUUGUGUGCAU